rnacentral:piRNA from 2 species
UGGAAGGAAAUUUCCUUACUGAAUGUGGAA